GGAUCAAACUGUAUCGCCUGCAAACAGAAGUAAGGAGUAUUGCUGUCACCGACCAAAAAGGUGGUCAGAAGAAUAUGCAAAAUCGCACCACGAGCAACACGGGACCUUCCUCCAGGCUGAAUAAGCUAAAUGAACUUCAAUUUUUAAAAAGAGGCCAUUUCAUCGACCUUGAAAAUUCCAUUCAUCAUCUCAAAAGGGCACACCAUCUUCCUAGAAAUGACAACAGACAGAAUGGGUAUGACACCCUGGGGAGAAGCCAAGGGAGUGGAAGAUCCACUAGACAAUGGGAAAAUCUACGACAGCAGUCCUUUAGUACAUCAGUACUAUUAUUGUCUUUAAUGCCGGGAAGAUGGUAUCUACGAUGUUUAGAGGCUCAUGCAAUGUAACACCAGGGAUACUUUAAUUUGGAUAACCUAAAAUGAAGAGACUUAGGAGAGGAAUAUGAAGAUAAUUUUAAAAUGAAUAUGAGAAGACAAAGAAUUCACUGUAAUAUUUCCUGGCCCAUUUAAUACAUCAGAAAUUUCCAUGAAGCACAUACUUGACAGUAUUCUAAAAAGUAUAAAAUAUGCAAAUAAAAGAGGCUAUCCUAU